rnacentral:rRNA from 1 species
AACGAACGCUGGCGGCGUGCCUAACACAUGCAAGUCGUGCGAGAAAGUUCCUUCGGGAGCGAGUAAAGCGGCGCACGGGUGAGUAACACGUAGGUAACCUGCCCCCCAGUCUGGAACAACUAGAGGAAACUCUAGCUAAUGCCGGAUAAGACCACGGCCCCUCGGGGGCGUGCGGCCAAAGAUGGUCUCUACUUGUACGCUAUCGCUGAGGGAUGGGCCUGCGGGCCAUUAGCUUGUUGGUGAGGUAACGGACUCACCAAGGCUGUGAUGGCUAGCUGGUCUGAGAGGAUGACCAGCCACACUGGGACUGAGACACGGCCACGACUCCUACGGGAGGC